UACAGAGGUCUCAAGCGUUGUUCGGAUUCAUUGGGCGUAAAGGGUGCGUAGGCGGCGCGGUAAGUCGGGUGUGAAAUCUCGGGGCUUAACUCCGAAACUGCAUUCGAUACUACCGUGCUUGAGGACUGGAGAGGAGGCUGGAAUUUACGGUGUAGCGGUGAAAUGCGCAGAGAUCAGGAGGAACACCCGUAGCGAAGGCGGCACUCUGGGCCGGAACUGACGCUGAGGAGCGAAAGCGUGGGGAGCAAACAGG
rnacentral:rRNA from 1 species